CUUCGUUUGCACUCUAGGUUUCCACCAUGCCUGUUUUUUCUCUUGCUAUAAAAAGGCUCUGAAAUCUCCUGAAAAUUUUUCAUUCUCUCUGUGUAUUUCUUCAGAAUGGUUAUCUGUAUGUGAUGAUGAAGGUGAUCAUCUUCCCAAUUAUUGUUGUUAUUUUUGGUGUUGCUGUUGCUUUUUUUUUUUUUUUGUUUUGUUUUAUUUAUUUAUUUUUUGUUUUAUGGGUUUUGAGUUUUGAGAUUUUGUUGGUGGUAGAUCUGGGAAUCACAGUGCAUGGUAUUGUCCAUUUGAUCUAUUCUGAUGUAACUUUUUAUUAGUUUUCUGCAUUUCGUGUGCUGUUUUUGGUUCUGUUGAAGUGCAUCCCUGAGUCUACUAUAUCGUGUUUGUUUGCUGAGAAAAUGGAGGAAAGGAAAGGAAAGGAAAGGAAAAGAAAAAGUUAUUAUGCUUUUGGAGUCGGAACUAGUUAUUAUGCUUUUCAAUUUGUUAUACCCAUGAUUCAGGCCGUGUUUUCAGAUUUCGGGCUUGGAAGAUGUUGGGUUUGCUGCCAGUGGCUUUUUGCUGUGGAAAAGUUUCGGUUUUACAAUUUUAACGAGUGAUAGACUCCAAAACUUGCAUUUUAAUAAUAAACUUGUUGUGGUGUCCAUGCGUUCGGAGUGGUAUCGAUCUGUCUUUGUUUUGAUGCAUGUGGUCUUGUUUAUGUACAUGUGCUGUUGCUGCUUAUAAAAAAAUUUAAUAAACUGUGACAAUUUGGUUAAACUCUUUCUUUACUAUGCUUGUUUAAUUUACUGCAUGAUGUGGAAUCUAUUUAUUAUUUGAAAUUUCAUGCCGGAAAAAUCUGGGUGAACUUUUUAUGCAAUUGGAUUUUAUUGAUAGUCUAUAUUGGGCUAGUGGAUGUUCUUUUGCUGCUUUUAAGAUGAAUAAGGGAGCUCAAUCACUUUGAGGUUUCCUACUAAUUUUCGAGGACUUGCUUAUGCUCUCUUUGGUUGCUUUCGAUAUUAGGGGAUUUUGGGGAAGCGAGCAUGGGAUGGUGUUUGUUUUGCCAAAAAAAAAAAAAAAAAAAUUGCAGGAUUUUGACAGCUUAUUGCAUUUUGAGAUUCUAAAGCAUCUUUACAUUAUAGUCCAUCACCUUGGUGAGCAAACCAUGGUUAUCAGAAAAUUCUCAGUUUAAUAUAUGUUUGCUACUAUAUUUUCUUAGCAUGUUUCCUUGUUCUGCAGAUGUUUCGUUCAAGCUUUGACAUGCAAUUGCUUGACAAAGAGAGAGAGCACACUUGUUAGCAUUCAUGUGAGGUAACAUGACUGUGUACUGGUGUGCUCUCUCUCGCUGUCAUACAAUCUUCUCAUCAAGGAUGCCUUACAUUUUUACCUUAUUUCUGAGUGUUGGACCUCAUACCAUACAAACUAGCAGGGGAUGCCUUACAUUUUUACCUUAUUUCUGAGUGUUGGACCUCAUAGCAUACAAACUAGCAGGUGAUUCUUUUUUUUUUUCCCUGUAGCUGUAAUAAAUGGGUUCUUCUAACUGGAAAUAUGCAGUAUUUGGUGCAACAAAGAACACCUUUUAAGGUUUGGUUUUCCAUUGGUGGAUUCAGUAAGUUGGUUUUUCAAUUCUUUGUUAUUCGGUCAAUCAUACACAAUGUUCCUGUUAUAGAACUUCCUGACAUGCCAAAAGGCCGUACUUUUGCCAAAGUUAGAUUCUUGAAGUGGAAUGCAGUUACCCUUCCAAUUAAAUGUGCCAUAAAAACAUAUUAUGACCCCAAAAUAGAUAUGCUCCUAAUUUAAGAAGAAUCUUGAGCAUAGAUAGUUGACAGUAAAAUAAGGUCUUUGGUCAUUAUGGUGCGAUAUGGCUGACACAAAGGCUGGCAAAUUAUUUGAGUUGUCCUUUGCCAAAGUGUCAAAACUAAUCUGUUAUUUGUCCAUUGCUUUGAACUUUGCAUUAACAGAAUUCACUUGCAUAUCCUUGUAUUAAGACAUGGUUCCAUAUCUCCCCUUGCCAAAAUUGGUGAUGAUCAGUUUCAGCUAAAACUUGAACUAUGGUUUGUGUAUAUGUUGGAGAUGUUAGGAGCAAGCUUGAAAUAUCAUGCUAGUUGUUGGCAACAAUAUGACACAACAAUGUGAAUGUGUGAAAGAAAAAAAUGCAUGAUAACUGAGGAAUCUUUAACUUUCAUUUUUCAAAAAAUAUUUGUUGUGAGAUGGGAGAGGUGGAAAGAAGGUUGCAAGGCCAUACAAUUAGAAGGGGGUUUUGAUGAUUUCAUGGUUUGGUAGGUAUCAAAGGGAGACAUCUUUAUAGCUUAAUCCUAUUACUCACCCCUAUCUGUAGACUCAAUGUGUUCCCUUGAGGCAUUGUGUGUAACCCUUGUGUCCUCAAGGAGGGUUAGCUUUUUGGCUUGGGAACCUUCAUAGGGAAGAAUUAACUUUGGAUCAGCUAAAAGGGAGGGGUUGGUGUUUACACAGCAAGUGUUAUAUGUGUAAAGGAGAGGAGGAAUCAGAAAAUCAUAUCCACCUUCACUGUCCCAAAGCAAAGCUUAUUUUUGCUCAAGGCAAGUUACAAGGUAGAUUGAUAUUGGAUUGGUAUUGUGUAAUAUACACAAUACAUUAGUUAUAAAGCUUAAGAACUUUUAAAAAUAAUAAUGAAAAUUUUAGAAAAAUAAUGACCACUGCUACCUUGCCUUCUAUUGUUUUUGUUCCAAUUUUGAGGCCUCCCAAGAAGCUUUCAGCAUAUAUCAUAAAUGUGACGUGAUCAGUGACAAUGAUCACAAGACAGCUUAUCUUUUUCAUCAUUUCUAUACCUCGGUCCUCCAAAAGCAACAGCUUCAGGUUUGUGAACAGCAAGUGCUUAAUAUUCCAGCAUUUUAUUCCCUGUGGUUGAUUGAGAAUUUGACUUUUUCAUCAACAAUUGGAGUCUUCUUUCUUCUUUAUUUUUUCCUGAUUGUGGCAAAGAGUUCUCUUAUGGACAGGAUUGGCUCCUUCCCCAAAACUCCACUUUUUGUUGAUCAAGUUCCGGAUUCAAACCUUCCAAAAAUUCAGUGACCUUAUCCUUCUCUUGAAUUGUCUUAAACAACUCUAUCUUCCACAUUUUUCCUUUCAUAAUCUUAGUACGAAUUCAUCUCUUACCAAAUUUUAUUCAUGUUUUAUACAAUUGUGUAUCUUAGCUUCAAAGUCAAGUAGCUUUGCUUAGCAUCAUGAGCUAAGCUUGGGGUAAGGCUAAGUUAGCAACUUAAAGAAUCUUGAGUUGCCUCAGUGUUGCACGUGAGCUUAAGAAACACCUAAGUUCGUGACAUGAAGCUGAGUUAGUUGUAGGAGAAAAUGUAAGGAAAUGGCCCCAAAUAUCUAAAUUUGUGGAAGAAAAGCUUAAUGCCUUCGAAAUUUUCAAUGGGGGGUGUACACAAGAAAAUGUAAGACUUGGAGAUCAAUGAGAACACGAUCAAUGAGGGGGUUAAAAACCAGAUCCUAACUUUAAUGAAUUAUUGAAUGAUGAAAACUGCUAAUACACCUCAUCCUCCUUCCAAUGAUGAUGGUGAUGGUGAUGGUGAUGGUGAUGAUCAGGACUAUUUUUGAGGAGGUAUGGAUCACUUCUGUGAUCAUGCUGAUGGGGGCGAAGCCAAGUGGAAGAAUUAAUGAUGGAGUUGAAGGAGAGGAAACUGAAGAGCAGGGCAGAGAAGAGUCUGAGCCUACAUAGAAGAAUGCUGUUGAGCAAAUUAAUGAGAAAGCUUAGCAGAGGGAUGAGGAAAUCACUGCUGAAACUGAGAAAGAUGCUGCCAUGGAAACUGAUCAACCAAUUGAAAGGGAGAUUGAGGAAAUUAAUGCUGAAAAUGCUGAGAAAAAGCAAUUGCUUCUGAAGGACCUGAACAAAUUAGAAAAUCCUAAAGAAAUUGAGAUUGAUGAGUCUGUCUAAGAAAAUAUUGUUGAGAUGAAUAAGGAAGCAACAGAAUCAGUAGGAAGGGAUGCAGCAAGGAUAGAGAGAAAUAUUUCUGGCAAAACAUUGUUGAUCCUUGAUUCUUGCUUUAGGAGAAGAGACCUUGACACUCUCUUUGAACCUGAGUAGCAUCUUAUUCACUUCCUAAGACUAAAUGCAGUUUAUUUGGAGUCUUUCACAACUGUUAGAAGUCUAACUCAGCAGCUUAAAACCAAGAAGUAGUGUGCAAAGUGUAUGUGAGAGAGAACUAUAGAACCCUUUAGUGUUCAAGAACUAUCCCUUACUCCUUACACACCCCAACACAGCUUCAUUUAUAUGGAAUAGAAGUUGCUAAUAAGCUAACUAGGACUUUGCUUAUCAAUGAGGUUAGAAAAAUCUAAGGUGAGGCCUUGAUUCUCCAAGAAAACACCCCUAACUACUGCCUAGAACAAUGAAGUAACUGAAACUUAAGAUUUAACUCUACUAACAACAGGAAAAUGGCUCAAACACAAAAGAUCCACUAAAGUAGCAAUUAAAACAAACGAAAGAUAUGCAAGAAACAAACUGAAAACAAGCUGGAAGUGAACUAAAGAUAGAGCAAACUAAAAACAAUCAUGAAGGGGAUGAUAUUCCUGAGACCUGUUAUUUUUGUUUUUUAUUUUUUAUUUUUCUGGAUUUCUUUUUUCUUUUUUGUGUUUUCAGUUUGAAUUUUUGUUGGUGGUAUAUCUAGGAGUCAGAGUUCAUGGUUUUGAAUUCACCGGAUUUAUUUUGGUGUUAGUUUUUAUGAUUUUGUUUUUGGGCAUUUGUGUGUUGUCUUUAGUUCUAUUGAAGUGCAUGCUUGAGUCUACUUUACUGUGUUUGGUUGUGGAGAAGAUGGAGGGAAGGAAAGGAAAAGAAAGAAAAAGUUUGAUUGCAUAUAAGUGGUUUUUCAUUGUUUGGAACCCAAGAGGGAAUGAAUCUUUUCAUGGUUGAGGUGACCAUCUAUUUCUCUUGGUUGAUGUUUGGUUUGAUUUUUGUGAAACUAAAACGGAAUAAAACAUUUAAUUUAACAUUUUAUUUUCAUGCGUUUUACUUAGUGCUCUCAGCAACCAAACAGAGGGUUAGGGUUUUCCAGGUAUUAUUGUAAAUGACAUUUUUUUUAUCACGUGCUCCUUAUUUUACUUAGAUGGAGUUUGAGUUAGGUAUUAUGCUUUCAAUUUGUGAUGCUGAUGAUUCAGGCCAGGUUUUCAGAUUUCAUGCUUGGAAGAUGUUGGGUUCGCUGCCAGUGACAUUUUUGAUAUCAUUUUUAAAUUUGAGUCUAGAAAGACUUGGGCUUUUAAGAUGAAUAAGGGAGCUCAAUCACUUUGAGGUUAAAGGUGUUCCUACUAAUUUUUGGGGAUUUUCGGGAAGGGAGCAUGGAAUGGUGUUUGUUUUGCUGAAAACAAUUUUGCAGGCUUUGGACAGCUUAUUGCAUUUUGAGGGUCUAAAGCAUCUUUAUGUUAUAGUCCAUCACCUUGGCGAGCAAACCAUGGUUAUCAGAAAAUUUUCAGUUUAAUAUUUGUUUGCUACCAUAUUUCUUAGUGUGUUUCCUUGUUCUGCAGAUGUUUAAUUCAACUUUGACAUAUAAUUGCUUGACAACGAGAGAGAGCAUGCUUGUCAGCAUUCAUGUGAGGAACAUGACUGUUUACAGGUGUGCUCUCUAUCGCUAUCAUACAAUCUUCACAUCAAGGAUGGCUUACAUUUUCACCU